GGGCAUAUGGUCUAGGGGUAUGAUUUUCGCUUCGCAUCAACGCCCGCAAGGGCUGGCCAUGUGUGUGUGAAAGGUCCGGGGUUCAAAUCCCCGUGUGUCCA
rfam:Cladophialophora immunda strain CBS 83496 unplaced genomic scaffold supercont1.2, whole genome shotgun sequence.